UAUAGUUUUAACUUCAGAAAUGUGCAAACAGAAUCGCUGUUUGACAUUUAAUAAUCAUAUUUACUGUAUUUUAAAUGUGUAUAAUGUAAAAUAUCUCUGCAUGGAUCUAAUACUAAUUAAUGACGACAGCUAACAACUGUGCUGUUAUGUUGACAUGUUCUACGAGGACUGACGGGUCAUACAGAGAUACUAAUGGAAACUACAACUGCAAACGCGACACAAAUCAUUCAGCUGUAAACUGUCUGCGUUGAAUGUCAGCGAACUUUCAUUAA